rnacentral:rRNA from 14 species
AUCAAAUCUUUGAACGCAUGUUGCGCUUCCGGGUACUCCUGGAAGCAUGCCUGUUUGAGUGUC